GGAGGAGCUGAGAGAAAGUAAAGUACUUAUUUCAGUCCACUUCUGACAGACCUUGUCACUGUGCCUGCAACCUGGUCAGAGAGGAAGUAAGGACUGGUGUCAGGAGGGAGCUGCUAGGUGACAAAGGGAAGAGCCCUCAGGAUAGGGCUGGGGUUGGGAGUGUGGGAUUAGGAGGAAAAUGCUGGGUGGGUGGUGGAUGAGAGAAGUAGGCAGACAUGAAUUCUUCAGGGAAAGCUGUGUAGAGGGUUGGAGGGAGGGAAGAUUGGAUGAUUGAGCUGAGUGAGAGCCCAGGGAUGUGAUCAGGGGUCUAUUAACUGGCUUCCAACUUCCAAGGUUUUAUCUGUGCAGCUCUUCUCCCAGGAUGGACAAUUCUCAUGCUACAAAGUCCUGUGUGCUCAUCCUUCUUGUGGUCCUACUGUGUGCAGAAAGAGCCUCCCUCUCAAGUACCCAGCUCAUCCAUGGUUGCUGGACAGCUACAAUGGUGAACCUCACUUUUGAGCUGGACUCUGGGAAGUUCUGUGUUCUGCCAUGCUCCAACAUCCAGGGCUCAGCUCUGUAG
rnacentral:lncRNA from 1 species